rnacentral:rRNA from 1 species
GUGGGGAAUUUUGGACAAUGGGCGCAAGCCUGAUCCAGCCAUUCCGCGUGCAGGAUGAAGGCCUUCGGGUUGUAAACUGCUUUUGUACGGAACGAAAAGCCUCUGGUUAAUACCCGGGGGUCAUGACGGUACCGUAAGAAUAAGCACCGGCUAACUACGUGCCAGCAGCCGCGGUAAUACGUAGGGUGCGAGCGUUAAUCGGAAUUACUGGGCGUAAAGCGUGCGCAGGCGGUGAUGUAAGACAGUUGUGAAAUCCCCGGGCUCAACCUGGGAACUGCAUCUGUGACUGCAUUGCUGGAGUGCGGCAGAGGGGGAUGGAAUUCCGCGUGUAGCAGUGAAAUGCGUAGAUAUGCGGAGGAACACCGAUGGCGAAGGCAAUCCCCUGGGCCUACACUGACGCUCAUGCACGAAAGCGUGGGGAGCAAACAGGAUUAGAAACCCUAGUAGUCC